rnacentral:hammerhead_ribozyme from 1 species
AUCUAGCUGACGAGUCCCAAACAGGACGAAAGGUGCGUCCUGGAU